UUUCUACUCCCUCCAUCCGAAAAUACUUGUCAUCAAAAUGGAUAAAAAGAGAUGUAUCUAAAACUAAAAUACGUCUAGAUAUAUUUCCUUUUAUCCAUUUUGAUGACAAGUAUUUCUGGACGAAGGGAGUAUUUG
rnacentral:pre_miRNA from 1 species